AAAAUCCGUGUCACAUUAAGGCUGAGACUUGAUGCAUACCCGUUGUGGGGAAUUCAGUGAUCCUAUGCUGCCGAGAAAAGCCUCUAGUGAGUUCAUACACGGCCCGUACCCCAAACCGACACAGGUGAUCAGGUAGAGAAUACCAAGGCGAUCGAGAGAACUGUGGUUAAGGAACUCGGCAAAAUGCCCCCGUAACUUCGGGAGAAGGGGGACCAUGCCCGGUGAACAUCUUCACGGUGGGAGCUGGGUGUGGUCGCAGAGACCAGAGAGAAGCGACUGUUUACUAAAAACACAGGUCCGUGCGAAGACGUAAGUCGAUGUAUACGGACUGACGCCUGCCCGGUGCUGGAAGGUUAAGAGGACCGGUUAGCCGUAAGGCGAAGCUGAGAAUUUAAGCCCCAGUAAACGGCGGUGGUAACUAUAACCAUCCUAAGGUAGCGAAAUUCCUUGUCGGGUAAGUUCCGACCUGCACGAAUGGCGUAACGACUUCUCCUCUGUCUCGACCACAGACUCGGCGAAAUUGCACUACGAGUAAAGAUGCUCGUUACGCGCGGCAGGACGAAAAGACCCCGGGACCUUUACUAUAGCUUGGUAUUGGCGUUCGAUUCGGUUUGUGUAGGAUAGGUGGGAGACUGUGAAGCAUGCACGCCAGUGUGUGUGGAGUCGUUGUUGAAAUACCACUCUGAUCGUAUUGGACGUCUAACCUCGGCCCAUGAUCUGGGUUAGGGACAGUGCCUGGUGGGUAGUUUAACUGGGGCGGUUGCCUCCUAAAGAGUAACGGAGGCGCCCAAAGGUUCCCUCAGCCUGGAUGGCAAUCAGGUGUUGAGUGCAAGUGCACAAGGGAGCUUGACUGUGAGACUGACACGUCGAGCAGGGACGAAAGUCGGGACUAGUGAUCCGGCACCGGCAAGUGGAAGCGGUGUCGCUCAACGGAUAAAAGGUACCCCGGGGAUAACAGGCUGAUCUUCCCCAAGAGUCCAUAUCGACGGGAUGGUUUGGCACCUCGAUGUCGGCUCGUCGCAUCCUGGGGCUGGAGUAGGUCCCGAGGGUUGGGCUGUUCGCCCAUUAAAGCGGCACGCGAGCUGGGUUUAGAACGUCGUGAGACAGUUCGGUCUCUAUCCGCCGCGCGCGUAAGAAACUUGAGGAAGGCUGUCCCUAGUACGAGAGGACCGGGACGGACGAACCUCUGGUGUGCCAGUUGUUCCACCAGGAGCAUGGCUGGUUAGCUACGUUCGGAAGGGAUAACCGCUGAAAGCAUCUAAGCGGGAAGCCUGUUCCAAGAUGAGGUUUCUCACCACCUUGCGUGGUUAAGGCCCCCUACAGACCAUGGGGUUGAUAGGCCGGAACUGGAAGCGCAGCAAUGCGUGGAGGUGACCGGUACUAAUAGGCCGAGGGCUU
rnacentral:rRNA from 1 species